AUGUCGCGGCCGCUGUACCGGGGGUUCUCGGGGGGCGGAGGCGGCAAGGACCGCUGCGCCGACGAGGGCCGCCACUACGACCCCAAGGAGCCCAGCGAGAACGGCAUUGGCGCAGGCGGGUGCGGCACCCCCGCGCGGGGGAGGAAGCGGCACCUGGCGGCCGCGGCGGCGAGGAUCGGGGUCCUCGUGCUCGCGGCGGCGGCGCUCGUGGGGUCGGUGGCGUGGGCCGGGUCGCUCUACGCGGGGCGCGGGGCCGCCGCGGCGAUGGCCGCGGCCUCGGCGCACCGCGGCUACCGGCGGCUGCAGGAGCAGCUGGUCACCGACCUGCUCGACAUCGGCGCGCUCGCCGGCGGCGGGCUCCGCUCGCGGGAGGCGGAGGCGUGCGCGGCCGAGUACGAGAACCACGUGCCCUGCUACUACAACGGCUCGGACGCCGUCGACGUCUCGGAUCUGGGCGGCGGCGUCGUCAUCAGCUACGAGCGCCAGUGCUCGCGGGAGGGCAGGGCCACCUGCCUCGUCGCGCCGCCGCGGGCCUACCGCACCCCCGUUCGCUGGCCCAGCAGCAAGGAGUUCAUCUGGAAGGACAACGUGCGGAUUAGCGGCCAUGAAUUCUCUUCGGGGAGCCUCUUCAAGAGGAUGAUGGUGGAGGAGGACCAGAUCUCUUUCCCGUCGGACGCACAUAUGUCUGACGGUGUGGAGGAUUACGCGCAUCAGAUUGCGGAGAUGAUUGGCCUGCGGAACGAGUUCAAUUUCAAUGAGGCUGGGGUGAGGACAGUCCUUGAUAUAGAAUGCGGAUUUGGUACCAUGGGGGCACAUCUAUUUGAGAGAGACCUCUUGACUAUGUGCAUUGCUAACUAUGAGGCAUCAGGCAGUCAAGUGCAAAUCACACUAGAGAGAGGAAUUCCUGCACUGAUUGGUUCAUUUGCAUCAAAGCAGCUUCCAUAUCCCUAUCUUUCAUUUGAUAUGGUGCAUUGUGCAAGAUGCAAUAUUGAAUGGGACAAAAACGAUGGUAUUUUCUUGGUUGAAGUGGACAGGCUCUUGAGGCCUGGUGGAUACUUUGUUUGGACAUCAAGUCUGCAUACACACAGGGCCUUACGCGACAAAGAAAAUCAAAAGAAAUGGGCAACCAUCCGCGACUUAGCUAAUAACCUCUGUUGGGAGAUUUUGUCACAACAAGAGGAGACAAUUGUGUGGAAAAAGACAAAUAAAAGGGAUUGUUACAGUUCAAGGAAAUCCGAGCCUGUGCUUUGUGCUAGAAGUCAUGAUCCGGAAUUGCCAUACUACAAACCACUAAAUCCCUGCAUAGCAGGAACAAGAAGUAAGCGUUGGAUCCCCAUUGAACAUCGCACAACAUGGCCUUCUCAGGCUAGAUUGAACUCAACCGAGCUUGAUAUACAUGGUGUGAAUUCGGAAGUCUUUGGUGAGGAUACUUCAACCUGGGACUCCAUGGUGCGAAACUACUGGUCUUUAUUGUCUCCACUUAUAUUUUCUGAUCAUCCAAAGAGACCUGGUGAUGAGGAGCCACAUCCACCAUUUAACAUGCUUAGGAAUGUUCUGGAUAUGAAUGCUCACUUUGGUGGAUUUAAUGCUGCUUUACUCAAGUCUGGAAAAUCUGUAUGGGUGAUGAAUGUUGUUCCUAUAAAUGCCCCGAACUAUCUGCCGCUUAUUUUUGACCGUGGAUUUAUUGGGGUUCAACAUGACUGGUGUGAAGCAUUUCCAACUUACCCAAGAACGUAUGAUAUGGUACAUGCUGAUGGAUUUCUAUCACUUGAAAAGCGCCAAAAACGUAGAUGUUCUACUCUUGACAUAUUCUUGGAAGUUGAUCGCAUCCUACGACCAGAGGGCUGGAUUAUAAUACGUGACACCGCCCCUCUUAUUGAAGCUGCAAGAUCUGUUGCUGCUCAGCUCAGAUGGGAUGCCCGUAUAUUGGAUCUUGACAUAGCCAGCGAUGAAAAACUGUUGGUCUGUCAGAAGCCCUUUCUGAAAAAAUAA
rnacentral:rRNA from 1 species